UACGGGGGGGGCAAGCGUUGUUCGGAAUUACUGGGCGUAAAGGGCUCGUAGGUGGCCAACUAAGUCGGACGUGAAAUCCCUCGGCUUAACCGGGGAACUGCGUCUGAUACUGGAUGGCUUGAGUUCGGGAGAGGGAUGCGGAAUUCCAGGUGUAGCGGUGAAAUGCGUAGAUAUCUGGAGGAACACCGGUGGCGAAGGCGGCUCUCUGGUACGUGACUGACGCUGAGACGCGAAAGCGUGGGGAGCGAACAGG
rnacentral:rRNA from 1 species